AUUGAACGCUGGCGGCAGGCCUAACACAUGCAAGUCGAGCGGAUGAAGGGAGCUUGCUCCUGGAUUCAGCGGCGGACGGGUGAGUAAUGCCUAGGAAUCUGCCUGGUAGUGGGGGAUAACGUCCGGAAACGGGCGCUAAUACCGCAUACGUCCUGAGGGAGAAAGUGGGGGAUCUUCGGACCUCACGCUAUCAGAUGAGCCUAGGUCGGAUUAGCUAGUUGGUGGGGUAAAGGCCUACCAAGGCGACGAUCCGUAACUGGUCUGAGAGGAUGAUCAGUCACACUGGAACUGAGACACGGUCCACACUCCUACGGGAGGCCGCAGUGGGGAAUAUUGGACAAUGGGCGAAAGCAUGAUCCAGCCAUGCCGCGUGUGUGAAGAAGGUCUUCGGAUUGUAAAGCACUUUAAGUUGGGAGGAAGGGCAGUAAGUUAAUACCUUGCUGUUUUGACGUUACCAACAGAAUAAGCACCGGCUAACUUCGUG
rnacentral:rRNA from 1 species